AUCCAGCUGACGAGUCCUAAAUCGGACGAAACACGCGUCCUGAAA
rfam:Schistosoma rodhaini strain Burundi genome assembly, scaffold: SROB_scaffold0006955